CAGCAGCCGCGGUAAUACGUAGGUGGCAAGCGUUGUCCGGAAUUAUUGGGCGUAAAGGGCGCGUAGGCGGACUGAUAAGUCAGGGGUGAAAUCCCAAGGCUCAACCUUGGAACUGCCUUUGAUACUGUUUGUCUUGAGUUCGAGAGAGGUAAGUGGAACUGCGAGUGUAGAGGUGAAAUUCGUAGAUAUUCGCAAGAACACCAGUGGCGAAGGCGGCUUACUGGCUCGAAACUGACGCUGAGGCGCGAAAGCGUGGGGAGCAAACAGGAUUAGAUACCCCGGUAGUCCCUGUCUCUUAUAA
rnacentral:rRNA from 1 species